UACGUAGGGGGCAAGCGUUGUCCGGAAUUAUUGGGCGUAAAGCGCGCGCAGGCGGUCGAUUUAGUCGGGUGGUUAAGCCCGGGGCUCAACCCCGGGUCACACCGGAAACGGGUCGACUGGAGUGCAAAAGAGGAGAGUGGAAUUCCACGUGUAGCGGUGAAAUGCGUAGAGAUGUGGAGGAACACCAGUGGCGAAGGCGACUCUCUGGAUUGUCACUGACGCUGAGGCGCGAAAGCGUGGGGAGCAAACAGG
rnacentral:rRNA from 1 species